AGGCGAAUCUGGUGGAAGGAUCUGACUCCUCUUCCCUAAGCCAGCCCUGGAACUCCAGGCCCAGCACCAUCCACUGCAGCCCCCUCCAGGGGAAGAAAUAAGUUUUUGAUAACUAUGUGUAAUGUCUUGAAGGCAGGGAUGUGGGGGUGUGUUAGAGCACAGACGGGGUUAGUAUUCCAUCUGCUAAAAUCUCACACUGAAUCUGACCCACAACUGACUUGCAUCUUCCACGAGCUGCAUUUUUACACCACAUACACACAUACGGGCGCAUGCACACACACCCCUAGUUCACCUUUGGUCUAAGGAUGCUAUAAAUGUCUAAAGAAUACAGGGGCGGGGCAGACAGAUCAGCUUCAUCCAGAUCCUGCCACUCUAACUGUGUGACCUUGGGUGCCGUCUCGGUGAUUUAAUUUUUAACCUUCAAGUUCUGGUUGGGAAAGGUCCAUUAGCUGAGGCACCUGCAAUCCAGGUGAGUUUGGGGCACAUACAGAGGUUAGAAGAUGGCUGGAGCAUUUUAUUCAGAGCAAACAGAAUGGUGACUUGCAGUGAGGCUGUUGCACACAGGCCUUUCCAAGGUCAGUUUCAGAAUACUCAGUGAGGAGCAAUGUUGUGCAGGUGACAGCUCACCUUCUCCCAUGAGACCCCAGCUGUCCUGGCAUGAAGCCACUGCACUGGGGUCCAAUGAGGGCCUGAUGUGUGGAUUUCAAGGGUUUUCAUUUAGUCUCUAGAUCCCUGUGACUGAGAGAUGCACUGAGAAAAAAAGGCUGCCACCUUCCCAUCAUGGGGACAUUGGUAUCAAAGCCACACAGAGAAGAAUCUGAAUCAUAGAGUCUCUUGAAGUUUGAAAGUGGACAAAAGCAAUCUUUCCAUUUGUAUUUUAUACAAAAACAGUUUUAAAUGGGGAUGUCUCAGGAAAUAAAUAUUAGAAAUGGAUAUCUGGUUAUUUUAUCUCCACCUCAUAAAGUUUAUCUUAUCCAA